rnacentral:rRNA from 1 species
UACGAAGGGGGCUAGCGUUGUUCGGAAUUACUGGGCGUAAAGGGCACGUAGGCGGAUUUGUAAGUCAGGGGUGAAAUCCCGGGGCUCAACCUCGGAACUGCCUUUGAUACUGCAAGUCUCGAGUCCGGAAGAGGUGAGUGGAAUUCCUAGUGUAGAGGUGAAAUUCGUAGAGAUUAGGAAGAACACCAGUGGCGAAGGCGGCUCACUGGUCCGGUACUGACGAUGAGGUGCGAAAGAGUGGGGAGCAAACAGG